rnacentral:rRNA from 1 species
UCGGGAAUAUUGCGCAAUGGAGGAAACUCUGACGCAGUGACGCCGCGUAUAGGAAGAAGGUUUUCGGAUUGUAAACUAUUGUCGUUAGGGAAGAUACAAGACAGUACCUAAGGAGGAAGCUCCGGCUAACUACGUGCCAGCAGCCGCGGUAAUACGUAGGGAGCAAGCGUUAUCCGGAUUUAUUGGGUGUAAAGGGUGCGUAGACGGGAAAGCAAGUUAGUUGUGAAAUCCCUCGGCUUAACUGAGGAACUGCAACUAAAACUACUUUUCUUGAGUGUUGGAGAGGAAAGUGGAAUUCCUAGUGUAGCGGUGAAAUGCGUAGAUAUUAGGAGGAACACCGGUGGCGAAGGCGACUUUCUGGACAAUAACUGACGUUGAGGCACGAAAGUGUGGGGAGCAAACAGGAUUAGAUACCCUGGUAGUCCACACCGUAAACGAUGGAUACUAGGUGUAGGGAACAUUAAGUUUUCUGUGCCGUCGCAAACGCAAUAAGUAUCCCACCUGGGGAGUACGGCCGCAAGGUUGAAACUCAAAGGAAUUGACGGGGGCCCGCACAAGCAGUGGAGUAUGUGGUUUAAUUCGACGCAACGCGAAGAACCUUACCAGGGCUUGACAUACAGAUGAAUAUACUAGAGAUAGUAUAGCUCUUCGGAGCAUCUGUACAGGUGGUGCAUGGUUGUCGUCAGCUCGUGUCGUGAGAUGUUAGGUUAAGUCCUGCAACGAGCGCAACCCCUGUGAUUAGUUGCCAACAGGUAAAGCUGGGAACUCUAAUCAGACUGCCGGUGAUAAAUCGGAGGAAGGUGGGGAUGACGUCAAAUCAUCAUGCCCUUUAUGUCCUGGGCUACACACGUACUACAAUGGCUGUAACAGAGAGAAGCAAAACAGUGAUGUUGAGCAAAACUUUAAAAAGCAGUCUCAGUUCGGAUUGAAGGCUGAAAUUCGCCUUCAUGAAGCCGGAAUUGCUAGUAAUGGCAGGUCAGCAUACUGCCGUGAAUACGUUCCC